rnacentral:rRNA from 1 species
GUUAAAAAGCUCGUAGUUGGAUUCCUGUAUGGAAGGAGUGCCCCUAUCCUUUGGAUGGGGGUUGCUGCCUUCUUUGCAUCUUCCGGAGUAGAUGUUCCUCACUUAACUGUGAGGACAUUCGCGCUCUGGACAUUUACUUUGAAGAAAAGAGAGUGCUUCAAGCAGGCAAUCGCCUGAAUACGUUAGCAUGGAAUAAUAGCAUCGGAUCAUCGUACAGCUGCUGGUGUCUGGGCGAGGAUAAAGGUGAACAGGGAUUGUUGGGGGCAUUCGUAUUUAACUGUCAGAGGUGAAAUUCUUGGAUUUGUUGAAGACGAGCUACUGCGAAAGCAUUUGCCAAAGAUGUUCUCAUUGAUCAAGAACGAAAGUUAGGUGAUCGAAGACGAUCAGAUACCGUCCUAGUCUUAACCAUAAACUAUGCCAACUGGAGAUGGGGCGUGUUUAUUCUACUACUCUUCCUGCAUCUUGAGAGAAAUCAAAGUCUUUGGGUUCCGGGGGGAGUAUGGUCGCAAGGCUGAAACUUAAAGGAAUUGACGGAAGGGCACCACCAGGAGUGGAGCCUGCGGCUUAAUUUGACUCAACACGGGGAAACUUACCAGGUCCGGACAUAGGUAGGAUUGACAGACUGAGAGCUCUUUCUAGAUUCUAUGGGUGGUGGUGCAUGGCCGUUCUUAGUUGGUGGAGUGAUUUGUCUGGUUAAUUCCGUUAACGA